rnacentral:rRNA from 1 species
GAUGAACGCUGGCGGCGUGCUUAACACAUGCAAGUCGAACGGUGAAGCAGGAGCUUGCUCCUGUGGAUCAGUGGCGAACGGGUGAGUAACACGUGAGCAAUCUGCCCUGGACUCUGGGAUAAGCGUUGGAAACGACGUCUAAUACCGGAUACGAGGCGUGGGGGCAUCCCCAACGCCUGGAAAGAACUUCGGUCCAGGAUGAGCUCGCGGCCUAUCAGGUAGUUGGUGAGGUAACGGCUCACCAAGCCUACGACGGGUAGCCGGCCUGAGAGGGUGACCGGCCACACUGGGACUGAGACACGGCCCAGACUCCUACGGGAGGCAGCAGUGGGGAAUAUUGCACAAUGGGCGCAAGCCUGAUGCAGCAACGCCGCGUGAGGGACGACGGCCUUCGGGUUGUAAACCUCUUUUAGCAGGGAAGAAGCGAAAGUGACGGUACCUGCAGAAAAAGCACCGGCUAACUUCGUGCCAGCAGCAGCCGCAGUAA